UAAAUAAUAAUGGUGAUAAGGAGUAUGAUUAGGAAGGGAUUCGUUUACCAUAUUGAUGGCAUAUGGUUAUUAUAUAAAGAGCCCUUUAGUCCUCUCACUGCUUAACAUUCAUUCCUCAUACACCAUCCAGAGAAGGUUGAGAAAGUGAGAGAAACAUAUACUGUUACUCUACCGCAGCAGUCCCGUGAUUACUCAAUCAUCAUCAAUCGGAAGCUA